rnacentral:rRNA from 2 species
CUUGGCGGCCGUAGCGCGGUGGUCCCACCUGACCCCAUGCCGAACUCAGAAGUGAAACGCCGUAGCGCCGAUGGUAGUGUGGGGUCUCCCCAUGUGAGAGUAGGGAACCGCCAGGU